GAUCCUGGCUCAGGAUGAACGCUGGCGGCACGCUUAACACAUGCAAGUCGAGCGGAGAUGUGAGUUGGAAGGGCUACGGCCUGGAAGAAGCAGAUCUUAGCGGCGGACGGGUGAGGAACGCGUGGGUAACCUGCCCUAUACAGGCGGAUAACGUGUAGAAAUGCACGCUAAAACCGCAUAAGCUACAUUGGUCGCAUGACGAAGGUGGAAAAACUGAGGUGGUAUAGGAUGGGCCCGCG
rnacentral:rRNA from 1 species